rnacentral:rRNA from 1 species
AUUGAACGCUGGCGGCAGGCUUAACACAUGCAAGUCGAGCGAGCGGCUGACGGGUGCGUAAUGUCUGGGAAACUGCCUGAUGGAGGGGGAUAACUACUGGAAACGGUAGCUAAUACCGCAUACCAUCAGAUGUGCCCAGAUGGGAUUAGCUAGUGGGUGGGGUAAUGGCUCACCUAGGCGACGAUCCCUAGCUGGUCUGAGAGGAUGACCGGCCAAACUGGAACGGGGACACGGUCCAGCCCCCUACGGGAGGCAGCGGUGGGGAAUAUUGCACAAUGGGCGCAAGCCUGAUGCAGCCAUGCCGCGUAGGUGAAGAAGGCCUUCGGGUUGUAAAGCACUUUCAGCGAGGAGGCGUUACUCGCAGAAGAAGCAACGGCUAACUCCGUGCCAGCAGCCGCGGUAAUAC